rnacentral:rRNA from 1 species
AGAGUUUGAUCCUGGCUCAGGACGAACGCUGGCGGCGUGCUUAACACAUGCAAGUCACGGGGGCCCGCAAGGGCAACCGGCGAACGGGUGCGUAACACGUGAGCAACCUACCUCGAUGUGGGGGAUAGCCGGCCCAACGGCCGGGUAAUACCGCAUACGAUCUUUGGGGGGAGUCCCCUGAAGAGGAAACCUCCGGGGCAUUGAGAAGGGCUCGCGGCCUAUCAGCUAGUUGGCGAGGUAACGGCUCACCAAGGCGACGACGGGUAGCUGGUCUGAGAGGAUGGCCAGCCACAUUGGGACUGAGAGACGGCCCAGACUCCUACGGGAGGCAGCAGUGGGGAAUCUUGCGCAAUGGCCGAAAGGCUGACGCAGCGACGCCGCGUGUGGGAUGAAGCAUUUCGGUGU